UACGUAGGGGGCUAGCGUUAUCCGGAAUUACUGGGCGUAAAGGGUGCGUAGGUGGUUUCUUAAGUAAGAGGUGAAAGGCUACGGCUCAACCGUAGUAAGCCUUUGAAACUGGGAAACUUGAGUGCAGGAGAGGAGAGUGGAAUUCCUAGUGUAGCGGUGAAAUGCGUAGAUAUUAGGAGGAACACCAGUUGCGAAGGCGGCUCUCUGGACUGUAACUGACACUGAGGCACGAAAGCGUGGGGAGCAAACAGGAUUAGAUACCCGUGUAGUCCCUGAGCGGG
rnacentral:rRNA from 1 species